GUCCGGGUGGAGCAGCGGUAGCUCGCGUGGCUCAUAACCACGAGGUCGGAGGUUCGAACCCGUCCCCGGCA
rnacentral:tRNA from 1 species